GCCUUCGUGGUGUAACGGUAGCACGCUGGCCCUGUAUUCCAGAGGCCCGUGGUUCGAUUCCCGGCGAAGGCG
rnacentral:tRNA from 1 species